CUAGCUCUGCAGCCAUUGGACCCGAUGGCAUGACAAAGAGAGGUCCCUGGUCUGCUGAGUACUGGGACUGGCACAGAGAGGCUCUGUGACCGACGUGGAUCAUCCCAACCGGAGUACUCGGUGGCAGCGGAGAACUGCGGUGCUCCUGGGCGGUGCAAGAACUGCAGGGAUAUCUGUGGCUCUUCAAGAAGUCAGCAAGAAAUGGGAAGCUGCAUUUCCUGGAAUGCCCUGGAACCCGACUUUGCUGACUGGUAACUGGCUGCCCAUAUAGACACUUAACCAUGAGAAGUACAGUGUUCGCACCGAGACAUUGCACUUGCAGACCCUACACCUACACCGUAGCACUGCCACCCCCAUCCCUCUCCCUCCCAUCUUCAGGGCACCACUUUCAAGCUAGCUCUGCAGCUCUGGAAGUUGAUGGCUCGAAGAAAGAAGGCCCUCAGACCCAACUUAGUUUACUGGCUGCCCUAAUAGCUCUGUGGCUGUGGGACUUGACAGCUGGAAGAAGGUGCACUUGCGCCAGGCAUCUCUCUGCGGUGCUGCCGGUGGCAGCGGAGAACUGUGGUGUAAGAACUACAGGGAGAUCAGUGGCUCUUCAUGAAGUCAUCAAGAAACGGGAAGCUGCAUUUCCUGGAAUGGCCCAGAACCCAUCUUGUCUGUCCGGUGGCAGCGGAGAACUGCGGUGCUCCUGGGCAGUGCAAGAACUGCAGGGAGAUCCGUGGCUGCUCUUGAAGUCAGCAAGAAACAGAAAGCUGCAUUUCCUGGAAUGCCCUGGAACUCAGCUUUCCUGACUGCGUACUGUUUGCUGUAAUGGGGAAGGGCAACGUACCCCCACCAGCGUUUCUCCAUUAUGUAGUGUGACUGAAUAUAGUGCUGCUAGAGCUCAGUACUACACUUUAGGGAACCCUGAAGGCUGCCUCUGCUUUUCUUCCUUCUCCUUGCCUCUGUCCUUUCCCUGUGGUGUUCUCCUUGUCCUUACCUUAGCCUUUGUUUUCUCGUGCUGAUUUCUUUACCUUGCAUUUCAGUUCCCGGCAGUGUUCUCCUGGGCUUUGGCCUUGGCCUGGGCCUGGGCCUGCGGUGUGGUGUUCUCCUUGGCCUAGGCACUUGGCCUGGGCUUGGGCUUUUGCUGAGGCAUUCUCCUUGGCAUUUGGCCUGGGCCUGGGCCUUU
rnacentral:lncRNA from 1 species